UGAAAAGUGAAAGAGUUACAAUGUAUAAAAAAAAAACAAUAUUAAUAUACAAUCACAGAAAAUGUUCCGUGUUGUGGUGGUACGCUACAUGUACUUUCUCUAGAAAGAAUUGUACUCGAACUAAAAGGCGAGAUCAUACAGUUGUUCGAUUCGCAAGAAAUAACAGCUAAACAACCCUAAAAUGAUACCCUCUUAAAAAAAAAAAAGGUGGACAGUGGGUAGGGUACAAUGGAUGAUGUACCCGUUUCUGUUUUAAAAGGGAGUCCUGGCAACGUGCUAUAGGGAAAGAUGCGAAGGGAGAGCGAUUUCAGUCGUAAGCAUGACCGAUCAGAGCUAAACAGAGAUUUAGCAGCAAACUGUAUUUCUUAUAAUUGUUAUAACCGAAGAUCUUUAACGUUAAAAAAAAAAAUGAAAACAAAGAAAGGAAACUGGUAAACUUUUAUUUAAGGUUAUACCAAACCUUCAAACCUAACAGGGCGGCGAAUUUUCAAGGACAGUUUAUAAAAAAUGGUUCCACCUGGCCGAAAGCUAAAAAGUUCCACAUUCGGAGACUUUCGUUUUGGGUUGGUACAAAAUACUUUGAAUAAAGAAAACAAAAUCAAUUGAAAAGAAUUUGAUCUGAAAAGGCAAGGUUUUCGCGAAGUCACGUUGCAGUUAUGCCCCUUUAACGCUGAACAAUGAUAAUUUUUUCCUCUGCGAUAAUUAAUUGGGAGAUAUUUAUUAAAUAUCCGUCAUAAAUACUUAAAUGACCGAUAAAUAAUAUAAAGUGACCAAAAACAAUCGAAUCACUCCAGCUGAAAUCUGAGCUAGUAUUUCCGUAUCCCUUCCAUGGGAACCAGUAAAAGCCUGUCAUUGGCUACAGCAGAUAUUAUAUACUACACCCCACCAACUUGCUAGGAUUGCAGACUUCUCUUUCAUAACACACUAUCACAGACCAGGCUUCCAUAGUACCGUUGGCACACAAUAUCAGCAGCAGUAACAGAACAACCCGACAGUAGGAUUCACAUCAAAUGAUACAUUGUGAAAGCUUUUCAUAUAUUGACAUUAUACAAUUAUUUUCAAAAGAAUAUUUCAACUUGAUAUUUUCCACAGAUGGAAAAGCCACAGUAAAAUUAACAUGGAAUUAGAGUUAUGCAUACUUCUAUUUUGUUUAGCUUCGUCUCUUUGUGUGAAUCUUACUUAUUAUGUUAAAGAUGGACAAACCUCAAAUUCACUUGUUGCCAAUAUUGCUGCUGAUGCACAGUUAUGGGACAAUGUUCUAAAUAAAUACAGAAAUUUUAUCUCAUUUAGUCAACUGCCAGGAGAAAAGACUGACAGUUCUCAGUUGUUCAAUGUUACUAAGACUGGCAAACUCUACACUGCUAAGACAAUUGAUGCUGAAAUCUUAUGUAAAUAUAACAUGGAAUGUUUUAGAAUGGUGGAUGUAGCAAUUCAUCAAAAAGAAUCUUUUGUUGAAGUUUUAGAAAUAAAAAUUGUUAUUCAGGAUAUUAAUGAACAUCAACCUGAGUUUCUAAAUAAAAAUAUAAAUUUAGAAUUUUCUGAAGGUGAUCGGGAAGGUAUGAUGAAAGCUAUUCCAAAUGCCAUUGACAGAGAUAUAGGAUUGCUGCAUUCACAGAUAUCAUACUUCCUAAAGAACAAUAAUAGUAAUCUUUUCACCUUAUCAGUUUCAAAAAAUAUGGAUGGUACUUCCAAACUUGGUAUUAUUUUACGAGAAAAACUUGAUAGAGAAUUAAAAGAUUCUUAUCAACUUCAAGUUAUUGCAAAAGAUGGUGGCCAUCCCCCUAAAGAAGGUGUUCUAAAUAUUCAAAUAACAGUUCGAGAUGAAAAUGACAAUUCCCCUAUCUUCUCCCAAAAUAUUUACAAUGUUUCUAUCAAAAAUAGUUAUCAAAGAUCAAUGCCUAUAGUCACUUUAUCAGCAACUGACUUAGAUUCUGGUGAAAAUGGUAAAGUAAUGUUCCAGUUCAGUUCCAAAACAUCAGAGAGUGCCAGAGCCUAUUUUAAAUUAAAUGAAUCAACAGGAGAAAUCUGGCAACUUCAAAAGUUUCCACCUGGAUCAAAAAGGACAUAUAAAUUAUUUGUUAAAGCCAAGGAUGGAGGAAAUCCAUCUUUGAGCUCAGUUGCUAUGGUUUUAGUGAAUAUAAAUAGUCAAGAGAAUAAUCCGCCUGAUAUAGAUAUCAGCUUUAUAUCAAAAUCAGCUGGAGAUUCACCCAGUAUUUCAGAGGGAGUAAAAGUUGAUAGUUUUAUUGCGUAUGUAAAGGUCACUGAUAAUGAUGUUGGCGAAAAUGGUGAAAUUAGCUGUCACCUUCAUCAUGAUAAACUACAGCUUAAGAAUCAUGGGAGAAAGAAGUAUAUGCUGAUAAUUAAGAAAACAAUUGAUAGAGAAACAAAAAACAACAUAGAUUUCACAAUAGUCUGCCAAGAUAGAGGAUCACCACCUUUAAAAACAGCCAAACAAUUCUCUAUUCAAGUAGAUGAUGUUAAUGAUAUUCAACCAGAGUUUAUCAAAGACAUCUUUACAUUUUUUACAUAUGAAAAUGAAGAAGCAAAUUUUCCUAUUGGUUUCAUUAAUGCAACAGACGAGGAUUUGGAUUCCGGUGGUAAACUUAUGUACCACUUGGAAAAUAGCAAACAAACCCAUGCUUUUAAAAUUUCCCAUUUAGGAUUUAUUUCAACAACACAAUCUCUAGAUCGUGAACAACAAGAAAUAUAUAAAUUCAAGGUUUUUGUGAAAGAUAACGGAAUACCGCCACUAAAUAACGAAGCCAAUGUAAUUAUUGAAGUUAUGGAUAAAAAUGACAAUGUUCCAUAUUUUACAUUUCCUAGUGUUAACCCUUUCAAUCUGUAUGUCUAUUACCAUCCACAAAGUAAGGGUGUCAUCACAACAUUAAGAGCUUCUGACAGAGAUGAACAUGUUAAUUCCUUCCUCAAGUAUGAAAUACUUGAAGGCAAUGACAAACAUUUAUUCAAAGUUAACCCUUACACAGGACUUCUGUCUUUUUCUCGUACAGUUUACCAAAAUGAUGCUGGAUUAUAUACUUUAAAUUUAGUUGUCAAAGACAGUGGUACACCAGUUUUAUCAGCAACAACUACACUGUCUUUGACACUAACUGUUAGCAACACAACAGCCAGAAUGGACAAACCUGAAGACACAGAAUCAGACAACAGAAUACAUAUUAACUUGAUGAUCAUCAUAGUUGUGGCUGCAGUAAUAGUGUCUGUUGCUAUUGUAGUUUCUGUGAUUGUAUGUGUUGUCCACAAACGGAAUGUAAAAGAAAACCAGUAUGGUGUGGCCCAGGACUUUGUCGGUGAAAGAAGGCCAUCAGGAUAUGUAUGUGAACAAGCAUCACCAAAAUAUGAUGUUCCAGUAGGAAUUUUAUCCGAUCAGAAACAAGUCAGAAACACUCAAACAGGCUCACUAAGAAGAGAUCCUCAUUCUAUAUAUAAACCUGGUCAGAGUUGGAAAGGAUCAUCAUCUGGAGUACAUUUUCAAAAUAUAACACCAGAAUCCUAUCAAGGUAACUUGGUACAUGGUAACCCUCAAGAAUUCUCAGUGACACGUUUUAUUGGUAAAGAUCAACAACAUAUGGUUAUGUCCCCUGACCGUUUCAGUGAGAUGUCAACGAUGUCUUCUGUAACUGACAGUGGACAUGGCUGCAGUGAAGCAAGCACGGCGCACUAUGAAACUUUACCUGGCCUUAAAACUUACAUCCAAGAACAAAUGUAUGCUCGAAGCAAUAAGUCUUUGCCAUAUUCUAUCAGCAGAGCUAAGGAUUCUAAAACCACAAAUAUUAUAAACUUAAAGUCAACACAAGUAGACAAUAAAGCUAAUCUUAACCAACCUCUUCCUUGGAAUUUGCCAACAAGAAACAGUUUUACAGCAUAUAACAAACCUCUACCGAAAGUUCCAUUUUCAUAAAUGUGCUACAUUACAACUUCUGGAGAAAUGUUUUGUGAAUUCUUGUAAUAUUUCAAAAUGAAGAAUUUGCAUACAAUCAACUUUAUUGAAAACUAAUUUUAAAACCAUAAUGCUUCAAAAAUAUCAAGAAAGAGUUUGUUGAUCAAACGAGAAUAAUGACACCCAGAAUUUUCAAUAAGAUAAAACCACUUGGAUGCCAUAAUACUGAAUUUAAUAAAACUCUAAAAUCAUAAAUCCGAACAUACUUAUGUACAAUUUCAAUGAAUCACAAUACAAGAGAAUUUGAUAAAAACCAAACUUCUAUAUUUACCAUAAUUAAAGUGAUGGAUUUUUCACGUGAUCAACACAAGUAAAUACAAAGCAAUGAAUAUAGUAUUCUAAAUCUAUUUCCCCUAGAAUAUACAUAUAUACAUGCAUACGCAUACAUAUAUGCACACAAACAUAAACACACACAACACAUAUAUAGUUCAAUAACAAAUCUUCAAAGACACUUAUUGCAAAAUAGUGAGACAAUGAAUAUAAAUUCUUUUGCUAAACAAACAAUAAACUUGGAUAUACCUGAAAGUUCCUGUACUCAACCAACUGAAAGACAAAAUAUAGACAAAGUGAGAAAAAUCUUAAAUUCAAAGCAGGAAUCAGAGGCAGAGUUUCCGUUUCCCUUCCAUGGGAACCAUAAACAGCCUGUCAUUGGCUGCCGCAGACGUUACAUACACACUAUAUUUGAUAGAAUUACAGACCUCACUCUCAUACCUACACAACUUCAUAUACAAAGACACUCAGUUCUGCCUGCACACAACAGCAGCAGUAAAGAUAUAACUCUACAGCAGGAUACACAUCUCAAUUAAUGACACAUUGAAGACUAUUUACCU